GGCGGCGAGGAGCGCCGGCGAGCGCAGCCCGGGACCGAGCGGGGCGGCGCGGCUGGCGGGGCCGGCGGCGGCCGGAGUGAGAGCGCGACGCGACGCGACCGCGGCUUCCCGAGCUCCGCCUGGCCGCCCAGCGCCGCAGCCCGCCCGAGGCCUGGAGGGGUCCGGGCCGCCGUCCAUGGUCGCGGCGUCCUGAGGCGGGGGACGCGCCCGGCGCCCCCAGCCCUCCGCCGCCUCCUCCUGCCGGGCGGGCGGCCUCCUCUGGCGCCUCCCCGCGCCCGCCCGCCCGCUCGCCCGCCGCCUCCCUCCCUCCUUCCCUGCGGCUCGGCCGGCUUUCGGGAGCCCGGGGGCGGCCUGUGGCGCGCCGAGCCCGCGCCGGACUGCGCCUCUUUGGACCUUGAGGGGAAACAUGCGUUUGGCUUGGAUCGUUUUAAAUUCUUAGUUUGGGAUCCCCGCCCGCCUGCCUCUUCCGCCCGGCGGGUUUUCUUUUCUUUUUUCUUUUUUUUUUCCCCUUUUUUCCCUCCCGAUCUCCUUUUUGACUCCCUCCCCCUUUAUGCUCGCCCAACCCUCCCCCCGCUGCUGAGAAGUGGGGGAGGGUCUCGGCCUCCAGGUUCCCGCCCUACCGGGGCCCGGGCGAGCAUGGGGGGCAAGCAGAGCACGGCGGCCCGCUCACGGGGCCCCUUCCCGGGGGUCUCCACUGAUGACAGCGCCGUGCCCCCGCCGGGAGGGGCGCCCCACUUUGGGCACUACCGGGCCGGCGGCGGGGCCAUGGGGCUGCGCAGCCGCUCGGUCAGCUCGGUGGCGGGCAUGGGCAUGGACCCCAGCACGGCCGGGGGGGUGUCCUUUGGCCUCUACACCCCCGCCUCCCGGGGGACCGGCGACUCCGAGAGGGCGCCCGGCGGCGGAGGGUCCGCGUCCGACUCCACCUAUGCCCAUGGCAAUGGUUACCAGGAGACGGGCGGCGGUCACCAUAGAGACGGGAUGCUGUACCUGGGCUCCCGAGCCUCGCUGGCGGAUGCUCUACCUCUGCACAUCGCACCCAGGUGGUUCAGCUCGCACAGUGGUUUCAAGUGCCCCAUUUGCUCCAAGUCUGUGGCUUCUGAUGAGAUGGAAAUGCACUUUAUAAUGUGUCUGAGCAAACCUCGCCUCUCCUACAACGAUGACGUGCUGACUAAAGAUGCGGGUGAGUGUGUGAUCUGCCUGGAGGAGCUGCUUCAGGGGGACACGAUAGCCAGGCUGCCCUGCCUGUGCAUUUAUCACAAAAGCUGUUGCCACCCUCCUGGGCUCCACACAGUUGCAUAGACUCGUGGUUUGAAGUGAACAGAUCUUGUCCAGAACACCCUGCGGACUGACCCUGCUGGGCUCACUUGCUGACUCCUCUCAAAGAUUGCUGUCUGCUGCCCAGCUAGAACCCACUCAGUGACAGAAACGAACAGAGCCAGGUUCUCGCCGUGCGCGUUCUGAUGGCGCUGGACCAUCCUGUGCCCGGCGCCCCCGUCGGCCCUCUCCAUCACCAACCGCUCUGCCUUGGGUUUUGUUUUUUUUUUUUUUUCCAUUUUUCUGGCUUGGUUGUGCACUUUUCUCCCCUUGGGACCCUGAUAUCUUGACCUCGUUGCCAAAAAACAACCCAUCAAGGACCUUCUUCCCCUCCAUUCUCGUUUCCUCCCCUCUUCCCUCCUGGUUCUGGUCAGUUCAGAGGAUUGAACAAUCACAAGUGUCCUGCAAAAAUGCCUGAACAUUUUUCUUAGACCCUUGUGGAUUUUUUUUCCCAGAAAACUUAAACAAAGACUUAUUAAAGGAAUAUGUACAGCAACCCCUGUUUUCAGGCACUCUGUUUGAGAACAUUUUAGCCAUUGAUGUUCACACAUGGCAUCAGCCCAUGCAAGAUAGGUUUCUGUAUUUAUAUAUUAAAAUACAAAAAAAAACCUUAUAAAAUGUUUAAAAAAAUGUUCAAAGCUGGGGGAAAAAGCUUUCUUCAUUAGUCAAGGUGUUUUGAUAUGGUAUUAAAAUAAUGUCUAAUAAAAGAUGCACUGUGUGACUUUA